rnacentral:pre_miRNA from 1 species
CAUAUACUCCCUCCGUCCGAAUAUACUUGUCAUCAAAAUGGACAAAAAAGGAUGUAUCUAGAACUAAAAUACAUCUAGAUACAUCCCCUUUUAUUCAUUUUGAUGACAAGUAUUUUCGGACGGAGGGAGUAAUAA